CGCUUGUUAGAAGCACUCUUUGUAAACCCGAAACCUUUUACAUCAUAUUGUAAAGUUCAUCAAGAGACCAAGGUUGGUCGGAUCUUGAGAGGACUGAAUCAAGGCUGAUUCAGUAUUUAGCUAGUCUUAAGAGGAUCGGUUGAUCAGCUUCUUAAGAGGAUACUAGUGAGAAAAUCAGUGUACUGUUAGUCACUUAGCAGGUUGCAAAGUGCAGUUGUAACACUCAUUGAUUUUAGUGGAUUGCCUUCAUCAGAAGAAGGAAGAAAUCACCUUCACAGGUGGACUGGAUUAGCUUGAGCUUUUAUCUCAAGUGAACCAGG
rnacentral:lncRNA from 1 species